CGGUUGAGCUGUCCAGGUCCAAAGGGAGAGAAUCUCGGUGGUUCACAGUACCCAAUGGGUUCAAUCAAAGUGUUAGUCUCAGAGUAUGAGUACCUGAAAUCAAAGGGUAGAUUUGAUUUCAAUGAAAAAUCUAAGACUUUCUCUGAUUUCAAUGAAGCUUUGUUUUGACUAUUCCCUUGCUUCUUUUCCUUGUUCUCGUUAUUGGGUUUAAGGGUUUUGGAGGUGAAUGAAAAUGGAGGUUCAUAAGUAUAUCUUCCUUCUGGGAUUAAGAUUGGCAUAAUAAAUGAGAGAUACACAGGAGUGUUGCCUGGGUUACAUCAUGAAAGGGGAUCACCGAGUGUAGGGUUAGGGUUUGAUGUCUUGAAUGACGCCAUGGAAAUAUCUUUACUAGCAUUGGUGGAAGAGAACUACUUUUUUGCUAACAACUCUCGGCCAAGAAAGAGAAUCACCAUAGGUGGACACAGUUGGGCAGUUAACAAUCAGUUGAAACCAGAAAGACAUUUUUGUUAUUCAAUAAGGUCAUUAGAGUAAAGGACCUAAAUUACAUUUUUAUUUUUCACUAUUUCAUCCUCUUUGACUUUGUUUUAAAUAAAUGAAACUUCCAUUUUGGUAAUGAUAUCAACACAAAUAGACGUCUAUAUAUUCAAAGACUAUAGAAGCAAUCUGGUAUAACUUAAGAAUUUGGAACUAAUGAGAUCAAUAUUUUUUACAAACAAAACUUUUGAGCAGAAUUUCAUCAGAUGAAACGAACAAGACAAUGUUUACAUAAGAGUCAUCAUUUCUUAAAAUUAAGAAUGAAAAACAAUUUAGUUCAUUACAUAGUUUGUUUGGGAAAUCUAAAAAAUGGACCAGGUCCACUUUCAUUAAGUUCUCUAAAUUUGUGAAAACCAACCUCCAUCUUGGCUUGAUUUUAACCAGGUUUUGGGAACUUUUAUCAAAUAAAGGUUGGCCUGUCUACUUUUGAAAUGCAUUCAACAAACUCUUUAAAAGGUUGUAUCUGGAUUAUGAAUUUGGGUAGGGAGUUAAAAAGAGAAAGGCAAAUGAAAAUGCAAGAAAAUCAAGAAAAAAUUUAGUUUAUAUUUUAUUUACAUUUCACUCGCAUUUUUCUUUCUCUAUCCAAAUUCCUAACCAAAUCUAUAUUUCAGACAUGUAAGGCUGUGUUUAAAUCAUGAAUUUGGGUAGAAAUUUGGAAAGAAAAAUAAAAAGAUAAGUGAAAUGUUAAACCCUAAUCCUUAAGAGCUGUGUUUGAAUUAUGAAUUUGAGUUGGAAUUUGAAUUUUGAAACCAUUACUUUUUUCUUUCCAAAGCCUAGUCAAAUCGAUAAUCCAAUACAAGGUUUCAACGUAAAAUCGCUUUGGCAUAACAUAUCUACGAAUUCACAUUUUAACUAUUCAAAGUCUUGGUAUACGUAAGUUAUAAUAGCAAACAUAUUCUCAGCUUGACAUUUUGACAAACACUUCACGCACAAAAUGAAGUGAGUAUUCUUGGGCUGAGAGAGAGAGAGAGAGGGGGGGGGGGGGGGUUUUUUUCUUUUUUCUUUUUAUGUCAGUUCGAGAUAGAUAAAACUUGGGCAAAAACAGAACUAGGCCAGCCAAGAAUAAGAGCAAUUCACAUCAGACCCAAAAGCAGCAAAUAUAAGAAGAAACCCAAACAUGCCAAUAUUCUUCUCUCUCUCUCUCUCUCUCUCUCCAAGCAAAUACCCAUUGCAAGUAUAAUUCCCACAUUGCAGAAUACCAUAAAACCCACAAUCUUAACUGAAUGACAUAAAAUCAACUAACUCCAAUUCCCAUUCAUGCACACUUAGAGAGAAAAAAAAAAAAAAAAAAAAAAAAAAGGAAAGAAAAAAAAA